rnacentral:misc_RNA from 1 species
UCUCCGUAGGUGAACCUGCGGAGGGAUCAUUAAAGAGUUCAUGCCCUACCGGGUAGAUCUCCCACACUAUGUUAUUAUUACUUUGUUGCUUUGGCGGGCCGUUAGGCUUCGGCCCGACUCCCGGCCCCGGCUGGUAAGCGCCCGCCAGAGGACCCAAAAACCUGAAUAUUAGUGUCGUCUGAGUACUAUAUAAUAGUUAGAACUUUCAACAACGGAUCUCUUGGUUCUG